AAGCGUGGAGUAUGUGGUUUAAUCGAUGCAACGCGAAGAACCUUACCUGGUCUUGACAUCCCGGAGACCCUUAGGAAACUAGGGGGUGCUUCCAUCUGGAAGAAUCUGGAGACAGGUGCUGCAUGGCUGUCGUCAGCUCGUGUCGUGAGAUGUUGGGUUAAGUCCCGCAACGAGCGCAACCCUUGCCUUUAGUUGCCAGCAGUUCGGCUGGGCACUCUAAAGGGACUGCCGGUGUUAAACCGGAGGAAGGUGGGGAUGACGUCAAGUCCUCAUGGCCUUUAUGACCAGGGCUACACACGUACUACAAUGGCCGAUACAAAGGGCAGCGACACUGCGAGGUGAAGCCAAUCCCGUAAAAUCGGUCUCAGUCCGGAUUGGAGUCUGCAACUCGACUCCAUGAAGUUGGAAUCGCUAGUAAUCGUGGAUCAGCAUGCCACGGUGAAUACGUUCCCGGGCCUU
rnacentral:rRNA from 1 species